rnacentral:rRNA from 1 species
AUUGAACGCUGGCGGCAUGCCUAACACAUGCAAGUCGAACGGCAGCGCGGGUAGCUUGCUACCUGGCGGCGAGUGGCGGACGGGUGAGUAAUGCAUAGGAAUCUGCCCAGUAGCGGGGGAUAGCCCGGGGAAACCCGGAUUAAUACCGCAUACGCCCUACGGGGAAAGCAGGGGAUCUUCGGACCUUGCACUAUUGGAUGAGCCUAUGUCUGAUUAGCUUGUUGGUGGGGUAACGGCCUACCAAGGCGACGAUCAGUAGCUGGUCUGAGAGGACGAUCAGCCACACCGGAACUGAGACACGGUCCGGACUCCUACGGGAGGCAGCAGUGGGGAAUAUUGGACAAUGGGGAAACCCAGAUCCAGCAAUGCCGCGUGUGUGAAGAAGGCCUGCGGGUUGUAAGGCACUUUCAGUUGGGAAGAAACAGCAGCCGGCUAAUAUCCGGUUGUCUUGACGUAACCAACAGAAGAAGCACCGGCUAACUCCGUGCCAGCAGCCG